rnacentral:lncRNA from 1 species
UCCCAUUUGGGUUAUAUCUCUUUCAGCUUUGAUCCUCCCUAGUAUAUUGCUUGCUCUCUUCUGUGGGCACAUACUGAAUUAGAGUAAUUUCCAUAUGUAUCCUUUCCCACCGUGGGUUAUAUGCGCUAUAAAAUAGAGAUUGUGUCUAUUUUUCUUUCUUACUUUCUCAAUUAAUCAAUGUGUUUUCCUUAUAAAGCAAGUUGCUCAUAGUUUUUUACUUGAAUAAUUUGAGUCAUAUUAAUGACUAGAAGUUCAGGUACUAUGGCAGGCUGAAGCAAAAGGAGACAUUUUUUACCUCACGUUAUUUAAUAUAGUUGAAUGCCAAACGUGGCUAGCAGGAAGGGCAGCCAUUAGUUAAGUAAGGCAGUUCCUCAAGGAAAGCUAAAGUCAAGUUUUAGGUUGGUUUGGUGAUCCUCACUCAGCAAUAUCCUUAAACAUCCGUCUUCUGUCUGUAGGUUGUAGGAGACAAAAUUGUCUGUCAAAAUGAGUAGGGAAAGAUGAAUACUUUCCCAACCACUAGGAUGUAAUUGUUCAGAAAUUCACUGAGUAAAACGCUGUGUUCUUCUGCCACAGGUUUUUCUUUAUGUCAUUUGGUGUUACCAGGACAAGCAGUGAUGCUGUGGGGAUAGCAUAGGAGUUCUGAUUUGUUCCUUGGGCUCUUGGCCAUUGUGAGAGUAAAGAGCUGUCAAGCCAGAGCUCCAGUGUUGGCUCUUGGGGGAGACCCUGUUUGACUUCCACAGCUCAAAGCGGCAAAAUCUUUUGCAGAAAGAAGGACACCAUGACUGAAUUUGAACCAAAGUACAUUAAGGAUACAAGUCAGGAUGGAGGAACUGAGGCUCGUCAGCUUGCCCAGUGGAGUCAGGUGGUCUGUGAGCCACUCUGAAAUUCAGAGGUUUCCAUAAUGCCUGUGGAUGCUGCGAGGUGAGCAAAAAUACCACCAUUU